rnacentral:miRNA from 3 species
UGAUAUGUCUGAUAUUCUUGGGUU